GAGUUUGAUCCUGGCUCAGAACGAACGCUGGCGGCGUGCCUAACACAUGCAAGUCGAACGUGAUCCAGAGCUUGCUCUGGUGAAAGUGGCGCACGGGUGAGUAACGCGUGGAUAACCUACCCUGGUAUCCGGGAUAACAUUCCGAAAGGGGUGCUAAUACCGGAUAAGCCCACGGGCUCUUUGGAGCUUGCGGGAAAAGGUGGCCUCUAUUUAUAAGCUACUGUAUCAGGAUGGGUCCGCGUACCAUUAGCUAGUUGGCGGUGUAACGGACCACCAAGGCGACGAUGGUUAGCUGGUCUGAGAGGAUGAUCAGCCACACUGGAACUGAGACACGGUCCAGGCUCCUACGGGAGGCAGCAGUGGGGAAUUUUGCGCAAUGGGGGAAACCCUGACGCAGCAACGCCGCGUGAGUGAUGAAGGCCUUUGGGUCGUAAAGCUCUGUCAGAGGGGAAGAAAUGAUAUAGUGCUAAUACCACUUUAUCUUGACGGUACCCUCAAAGGAAGCACCGGCUAACUCCGUGCCAGCAGCCGCGGUAAUAC
rnacentral:rRNA from 1 species